rnacentral:rRNA from 1 species
GAGUGAAGAGGGAAGAGCUCAUCAUUGGAAUCUGGCAGUGUUUCACUGUCCGAGUUGUAGAUGAGGAGUAGUCCGUCUGGACUGCAUGGCGUCCAAGUACAAUAGGCCGUCAGUGGGACAUCAUAGAGGGUGACAAUCCCGUCCUUGACGCCAAUGUGCAAGUCUAUUACGAUGGCUAUCUCAGAGAGUCGAGCAGUUUGGGAUUUGCUGCUUAAACAUGGGAGGUAGAUUCCUUCUAAAGCUAAAUACAGGCGAGAGACCGAUAGAGAACAAGUACCGCAAGGGAAAGAUGAAAUAGCACUCUGUGAAGGGAGUCAAAAGGCGUGAAAUUGUUGCGAGAGAAGCGAUUCAAGUCAGCGUAGCUAGGCCCAUCAAGCGUCUUCGCUUUGGACUAGCUUUGCCAGCGGUCUUGUCCCUUAAAGAGACUUGACUUGUAAUAUGUCCAGCCUGGCGUGCACAGGCAGCCCCUUCUGGGGGGCCAGUGACAUGGCUGGUGGAAUGGCUUGCAAUCGACCCGUCUUGAAACACGGACCAAGGAGUCUAACAUGUAUGCGAGUAUAAGGGUGGCAAACCCGUAUGCGCAAUGAAAGUGAUUUUCGGUGAUUGAGAAUGGCCUGAUGACCAGACAAGCAAUAUAUGUCCCUCGUACGGCCAUUGCCCAAGUUCCGUGGUAGAUCCCACGAACAUGGAGUUGGAGCAUACAUGCUAGGACCCGAAAGAUGGUGAACUAUGCCUGGACAAAGCGAAGCCAAAGGAAACUCUGGUGGAGGCUUGUAGCGAUUCUGACGUGCAAAUCGAUCGUCUGAUCUGGGUAUAGGGGCGAAAGACUA